UACGAAGGGGGGCUAGCGUUGCUCGGAAUUACUGGGCGUAAAGCGCGCGUAGGCGGAUCGCUAAGUCAGGGGUGAAAUCCCAGGGCUCAACCCUGGAACUGCCUUUGAUACUGACGGUCUGGAGAUCGGGAGAGGUGAGUGGAAUUCCGAGUGUAGAGGUGAAAUUCGUAGAUAUUCGCAAGAACACCAGUGGCGAAGGCGGCUCACUGGCCCGAUACUGACGCUGAGGCACGAAAGCGUGGGGAGCAAACAGG
rnacentral:rRNA from 1 species